AGCUACAUCUGGCUACUGG
rnacentral:ncRNA from 2 species